GUCAGGAUGGCCGAGCGGUGUAAGGCGCUGCAUUCAGGUCGCAGCCUCCCCUGGAGGUGUGGGUUCAAAUCCAGUUUCUGACA
rnacentral:tRNA from 1 species